GCUGGGAUAGCUGAGUUGGCAAGAGCACGAGAUUCUUAAUCUCAUGGUUGUCAAGUUCGAGUCCUGAGUUGGGCA